rnacentral:lncRNA from 10 species
UCUCCGAGCCUCAGUUUCCCCAUCUUCCGAAAGGGGCCUGGCAUAUCCUGGGCAGGCAGAUGGUGGAUCAGAGGUAGUGAGGUGCCUACAAGGAAAUGCUCCCAACAGGGUGGCUUGGAGGAAUCCUCCUUCCUCAGCACUCAUGGGCCGGGCACUGUUCUAGGCCGUGGGGGUGGGGAUCGAGCAGUGGCCACACUGACAAAGCCCCUACCCUUGUGGAAGUGACAUUCUACUGAGGCCAUGGACACGUACAGUACCCAAUCUCCCACCCUCCACCUGCCAGAAUGACAGAGGCUCCCCCAUGGAGAUUCCUGGCAUGCCCAGCCCCACGUCUGGGUUGAGAGUAGUGACUCAGAAGAAAAUGAAGGCUACUGCUAGCAACCAAAUGAGGUCACCGUCAAGAUUCCCGGAUAAAAGUCAUUCAUGAGACACA